GACGAACCGUGCGAACGUUGUUCGGAUUCACUGGGCUUAAAGGGCGCGUAGGCGGACUCGCCAGUCUGUGGUGAAAGCCCCCAGCUCAACUGGGGAAGUGCCGUGGAUACUGCGAGUCUGGAGGAGGGUAGGGGCAUCUGGAACGCUGGGUGGAGCGGUGAAAUGCGUUGAUAUCCCGCGGAACUCCGGUGGCGAAGGCGAGGUGCUGGACCCUUUCUGACGCUGAGGCGCGAAAGCCAGGGGAGCAAACGGG
rnacentral:rRNA from 1 species